rnacentral:rRNA from 1 species
GUCGAACGAGAAAGGGGAGCAAUCCCUGAGUAAAGUGGCGUACGGGUGAGUAACACGUGGAUGAUCUGCCUUUUUGUGGGGGAUAACCUGGGGAAACCUGGGCUAAUACCGCAUAAGCUCGAGAGAGGAAAGCCGCAAGGCGCAGAAAGAGGAGUCCGCGGUCGAUUAGCUAGUUGGUAGGGUAAGAGCCUACCAAGGCAACGAUCGAUAGCCGGCCUGAGAGGGCACACGGCCACACUGGCACUGAAACACGGGCCAGACUCCUACGGGAGGCAGCAGUGGGGAAUCUUGCACAAUGGGGGAAACCCUGAUGCAGCGACGCCGCGUGAGCGAUGAAGCCCUUCGGGGUGUAAAGCUCUUUCGACAGGAACGAUAAUGACGGUACCUGUGGAAGAAGCUGCGGCUAACUACGUGCCAGCAGCCGCGGUAAUACGUAGGCAGCAAGCGUUGUUCGGAGUUACUGGGCGUAAAGGGUGUGUAGGCGGUUCACUAAGUUCGACGUGAAAUCUCCCGGCUUAACCGGGAGGGUGCGUUGAAAACUGGUGGGCUUGAGUAUGGGAGAGGUAAGCGGAAUUCCUGGUGUAGCGGUGAAAUGCGUAGAUAUCAGGAGGAACACCUGUGGUGUAGACAGCUUACUGGACCAUCACUGACGCUGAGACACGAAAGCGUGGGUAGCAAACAGGAUUAGAUACCCUGGUAGUCCACGCCCUAAACGAUGCAUACUUUGGUGUGAGCGAUUCAUUUCGUCCGUGCCGGAGCUAACGCGUUAAGUAUGC